rnacentral:rRNA from 1 species
UACGUAGGGCGCAAGCGUUGUCCGGAAUUAUUGGGCGUAAAGAGCUCGUAGGCGGCCUGUUGCGUCCGCUGUGAAAUCCCGGGGGCUCAACCCCCGGGCCUGCAGUGGAUACGGGCUGGCUAGAGGCAGGCAGGGGGAGAACGGAAUUCCCGGUGUAGCGGUGAAAUGCGCAGAUAUCAGGAGGAACACCGGUGGCGAAGGCGGCAUCCUGGACCGACACUGACGCUGAGGAGCGAAAGCGUGGGGGAGCAAACAGG